AAUGAACGCUGGCGGCAGGCCUAACACAUGCAAGUCGAGCGCCGUAGCAAUACGGAGCGGCAGACGGGAGAGUAACACGUGGGAACGUACCCUUUGGUUCGGAACAACCCAGGGAAACUUGGGCUAAUACCGGAUAAGCCCUUACGGGGAAAGAUUCAUCGCCGAAGGAUCGGCCCGCGUCUGAUUAGCUAGUUGGUGGGGUAAUGGCCCACCAAGGCGACGAUCAGUAGCUGGUCUGAGAGGAUGAUCAGCCUCACUGGGACUGAGACACGGCCCAGACUCCUACGGGAGGCAGCAGUGGGGAAUAUUGGACAAUGGGCGCAAGCCUGAUCCAGCCAUGCCGCGUGGGUGAUGAAGGCCCUAGGGUUGUAAAGCCCUUUCGGCGGGGAAGAUAAUGACGGUACCCGCAGAAGAAGCCCCGGCUAACUUCGUGCCAGCAGCCGCGGUAAAAC
rnacentral:rRNA from 1 species